CACAACUGUCCAAUUGUCCAGCCUCCAAUGAAAUCCACACAGAGAAUAGACUGCAACUGCUAGGGUUUCUCUCUUGUGCCAGCAAGAAUAAUGAAUACCUUAUGAACCUCAAACCCUAACUGUGUAUAUAUAUAAACCCAAACGGACCCGGCCCGGUCCGGUCCAAUAUUUAAUUAAUCCAAUUAAUUAAAUCCGGUCCGUGAAUUA
rnacentral:lncRNA from 1 species